CCUACGGGAGGCAGCAGUGGGGAAUUUUCCGCAAUGGGCGAAAGCCUGACGGAGCAACGCCGCGUGAGGGAUGAAGGCCUCUGGGCUGUAAACCUCUUUUAUCAAGGAAGAAGAUCUGACGGUACUUGAUGAAUAAGCCACGGCUAAUUCCGUGCCAGCAGCCGCGGUAAUACGGGAGUGGCAAGCGUUAUCCGGAAUUAUUGGGCGUAAAGCGUCCGCAGGCGGUCUUGUAAGUCUGUCGUUAAAGCGUGGAGCUCAACUCCAUUUCGGCGGUGGAAACUACAAGACUAGAGUGUGGUAGGGGCAGAGGGAAUUCCCGGUGUAGCGGUGAAAUGCGUAGAUAUCGGGAAGAACACCAGUGGCGAAGGCGCUCUGCUGGGCCAUAACUGACGCUCAUGGACGAAAGCUAGGGGAGCGAAAGGGAUUAGAUACCCCUGUAGUCCUAGCCGUAAACGAUGAACACUAGGUGUCGGGGGAAUCGACCCCCUCGGUGUCGUAGCUAACGCGUUAAGUGUUCCGCCUGGGGAGUACGCACGCAAGUGUGGAACUCAAGGAAUUGACGG
rnacentral:rRNA from 1 species